GACGAACGCUGGCGGCGUGCCUAAUACAUGCAAGUCGAGCGAAGUUUUUCUGGUGCUUGCACUAGAAAAACUUAGCGGCGAACGGGUGAGUAACACGUAAAGAACCUGCCUCAUAGACUGGGACAACUAUUGGAAACGAUAGCUAAUACCGGAUAACAGUAUUUCUCGCAUGAGGGAUAUUUAAAAGUUGGUUAUGCUAACACUAUGAGAUGGCUUUGCGGUGCAUUAGCUAGUUGGUGGGGUAAAGGCCCACCAAGGCGACGAUGCAUAGCCGACCUGAGAGGGUGAUCGGCCACACUGGGACUGAGACACGGCCCAGACUCCUACGGGAGGCAGCAGUAGGGAAUCGUCCGCAAUGGGCGAAAGCCUGACGGAGCAACGCCGCGUGAGUGAAGAAGGAUUUCGGUUCGUAAAGCUCUGUUGUUAGGGAAGAAUGGAUAUGUAGUAACUAUACAUGUAAGAGACGGUACCUAACCAGAAAGCCACGGCUAACUACGUG
rnacentral:rRNA from 1 species